CCGGCGGCCGGUUCCCCGUGCGGGGGGUGCCUGUAAACAAUGGUGCCCCCCCUGCGCCGCGCUGCCUUACCGAUUCUUCCUCCUUCUCCAUCCCCGUGGGCAUCUGCGGCACGGCCCGGUUGAUGGAGACGCAGUCGUUGAGAAUCACGGGAUAUUUAGGGUUGGAAAGGACCUCUGGAGACCAUCCCGUGCAACCAGGGUCACCUGGAGCAGGGCAACGUCCUGCAACUUGGAAUUUAGUAAUCCCAAAUUCUCACCUGGACAAAGCCUCAGCCCUCUGCCCAUCCAGAGUUUCCUGCAUGAGUUGACGUUAGUCUGCAAAAUCCUUCAUCAAAGACCCUUAGUACCUCAAAUAUCUCCGCACUUCCAUUUUAUUUUGACACCCGAGACCAAGCAGCUGCGUCUCUCACCUCCACCUUGGAGCUCUCAGAGGAGCUGUCAGUAUCACCUUCUGAAAUAAACUGAAACUUCCUCAAAACUUCAUUGUUUGGAUCGCUGUGCCAACUCUACCUAAUUUCCAUUUUAUCUUAAAUUGGAAAAAAGUAGGUUCAGUCUCUGAAUUGCCUUUUAUUUUUAGUUACCUGUUGUGUUUUUUAUUUACGUGGUUUUGUAUAGCAAAUGCAACUGCUGCUUGUGACAAACACAUGAUGUACAAAAUGAAGAAUAAAGAAUUGUGUCAGCUAGAGAGAGAGGGAGAGGGAAGAUGAAACAAGCCCAGGAAUACACAGGAGGGAAAAAGAAGCAGCAAGAACAUUGCGUUAAUCAGCCACAGACCCAAAUUAGCUUGGGAAAGAGAUCUGGAAAUUAUAUCAACUACUGCCAUGAAAGCAUCAGGUAAGUGUUCAGUCAUGUGAGCAAACGAAGCUUUGAAAACAUGAGAAAAGGAACAGAGAACAAAACCGUGACACACUGCGCUUAUUCAUAAUUCCCUUAGAGUGUUUUUUAUUUCAUAAGAUAGCCAAUCCUUGCCUU